GAUGAACGCUGGCGGCGUGCUUAACACAUGCAAGUCGAACGGUGAAAGCGGAGCUUGCUCUGCUGGAUCAGUGGCGAACGGGUGAGUAACACGUGAGCAACCUGCCCCGGACUCUGGGAUAACAGCUGGAAACAGCUGCUAAUACCGGAUACGAGCUGCGAAGGCAUCUUCAGCAGCUGGAAAGAACUUCGGUCCGGGAUGGGCUCGCGGCCUAUCAGCUAGUUGGUGAGGUAACGGCUCACCAAGGCGUCGACGGGUAGCCGGCCUGAGAGGGUGACCGGCCACACUGGGACUGAGACACGGCCCAGACUCCUACGGGAGGCAGCAGUGGGGAAUAUUGCACAAUGGGCGCAAGCCUGAUGCAGCAACGCCGCGUGAGGGACGACGGCCUUCGGGUUGUAAACCUCUUUUAGCAGGGAAGAAGCGAAAGUGACGGUACCUGCAGAAAAAGCACCGGCUAACUACGUGCCAGCCGCCGCAGUAAUAC
rnacentral:rRNA from 1 species